AGUGAACGCUGGUGGUAGGCCUAACACAUGCAAGUCGAACGGCAGCACAGUAAGAGCUUGCUCUUACGGGUGGCGAGUGGCGGACGGGUGAGGAAUACAUCGGAAUCUACUUUUUCGUGGGGGAUAACGUAGGGAAACUUACGCUAAUACCGCAUACGACCUACGGGUGAAAGCAGGGGAUCUUCGGACCUUGCGCGAUUGAAUGAGCCGAUGUCGGAUUAGCUAGUUGGCGGGGUAAAGGCCCACCAAGGCGACGAUCCGUAGCUGGUCUGAGAGGAUGAUCAGCCACACUGGAACCGAGACACGGUCCAGACUCCUACGGGAGGCAGCAGUGGGGAAUAUUGGACAAUGGGCGCAAGCCUGAUCCAGCCAUACCGCGUGGGUGAAGAAGGCCUUCGGGUUGUAAAGCCCUUUUGUUGGGAAAGAAAAGCAGCAGGUUAAUACCCCGCUGUUCUGACGGUACCCAAAGAAUAAGCACCGGCUAACUUCGUG
rnacentral:rRNA from 1 species